CCUACGGGUGGCAGCAGUGAGGAAUAUUGGUCAAUGGACGAGAGUCUGAACCAGCCAAGUAGCGUGAAGGAUGACUGCCCUACGGGUUGUAAACUUCUUUUAUAUGGGAAUAAAAUGUUCCACGUGUGGGAUUUUGUAUGUACCAUAUGAAUAAGGAUCGGCUAACUCCGUGCCAGCAGCCGCGGUAAUACGGAGGAUCCGAGCGUUAUCCGGAUUUAUUGGGUUUAAAGGGAGCUUAGGUGGAUUGUUAAGUCAGUUGUGAAAGUUUGCGGCUCAACCGUAAAAUUGCAGUUGAAACUGGCAGUCUUGAGUACAGUAGAGGUGGGCGGAAUUCGUGGUGUAGCGGUGAAAUGCUUAGAUAUCACGAAGAACUCCGAUUGCGAAGGCAGUUCACUGGACUGCAACUGACACUGAGGCUCGAAAGUGUGGGUAUCAAACAGGAUUAGAUACCCCAGUAGUC
rnacentral:rRNA from 1 species